rnacentral:rRNA from 1 species
UAGAGUAACACGUGAGCAACCUACCUUUCAGUGGGGGACAACAUUUGGAAACGAAUGCUAAUACCGCAUAAGACCACAGUGUCGCAUGGCACAGGGGUCGAAGGAUUUAUCCGCUGAAAGAUGGGCUCGCGUCCGAUUAGCUAGAUGGUGAGGUAACGGCCCACCAUGGCGACGAUCGGUAGCCGGACUGAGAGGUUGAACGGCCACAUUGGGACUGAGACACGGCCCAGACUCCUACGGGAGGCAGCAUG